rfam:Medicago truncatula strain A17 chromosome 7, whole genome shotgun sequence.
AUAUAAGCAAAAUUGACUUUUUAGAUUUAUUCAUUUAAUGAUGAAUUUGGUUCAUAAUAUAGACCACGUACAUCAUUAAAUGAAUGACCCUAAAAAGUUAAUUUUGCUUAUAU